ensembl:lincRNA 1810006J02Rik RIKEN cDNA 1810006J02 gene
AGAGGAAAUACAGCUCGAGGAAGGCAUUUCUACAGCUUGUGCCUAAAACACAGUGCCUGGAGUAGUAGCUUGAAUGUUUCUGGACUCAAGGAAUCUCAGAAGUAGACUGACAGGGAGGCAAGAUAGUUUCUCACUGCCUGUUCUAUCACCAUGGAUCUCAGUGUGGGCUACUGAACGCUGGUGAUAUCUAGGCAGAAUCCAGGAACUCAGUAAGUCGAGGAACAGAGGCCUCUCACGAGGGAAGACAGUAUCGUUUUAUACUUGUGGAAAUGGCCACAAUCCUAUUCAUCUUACAGUUAUGGAGGACAGCCAUCCACAACAGCUUUCCUGGGGUCUCCCUAUACAAUAUGUAACCUGGGCUGGCCUGGAACUCACUAGACAGGAGCCUAGCACUGCUGCCCUCUGAGAGGCCCUACAAGCAGCUGAACAAGUCAGAUGCAGACACUUACACCCAAACAAUGGAGAGAAGCUGGGGACCCCUGUGGUUGAAUUAAGGAAAGGCUGGAAAGCUGAGG